UUGAACGCUGGCGGCAUGCUUUACACAUGCAAGUCGAACGGCAGCGGGGGCUUCGGCCUGCCGGCGAGUGGCGAACGGGUGAGUAAUGCAUCGGAACGUGCCCAGUCAUGGGGGAUAACUACGCGAAAGCGUAGCUAAUACCGCAUACGCCCUGAGGGGGAAAGCGGGGGAUCGCAAGACCUCGCGUGAUUGGAGCGGCCGAUGUCGGAUUAGCUUGUUGGUGAGGUAAAGGCUCACCAAGGCGACGAUCCGUAGCUGGUCUGAGAGGACGACCAGCCACACUGGAACUGAGACACGGCCCAGACUCCUACGGGAGGCAGCAGUGGGGAAUUUUGGACAAUGGGCGAAAGCCUGAUCCAGCCAUGCCGCGUGAGUGAAGAAGGCCUUCGGGUUGUAAAGCUCUUUCAGCCGGAAAGAAAUCGCGCAGGCUAAUACUCUGCGUGGAUGACGGUACCGGAAGAAGAAGCACCGGCUAACUACGU
rnacentral:rRNA from 1 species